rnacentral:rRNA from 1 species
AGCUCCAAUAGCGUAUAUUAAAGUUGCUGCAGUUAAAAAGCUCGUAGUUGGAUUUGUGGGAUGGCCGUCCGGCGGGGGGCCAUUUAUUGGUCCCGUUUGUCCUGGUUUUCGGCCUUCCCUUUCUCGGGUCUAGCGUAUUGGCUGGCAUUAGGUUGUCGGCCGCUUCGCGCCCGUCGUUUACUGUGAAAAAAUUAGAGUGUUCAAAGCAGGCGUUUGCUUGAAUAAUACAGCAUGGAAUAAUAGAAUAGGACUUUAUCCAUUUUAUUGGUUAUUGGAUGAAGUAAUGAUUAACAGAAACAGUUGGGGGCAUCAGUACUUAAUAGUCAGAGGUGAAAUUCUUAGAUUUAUUAAAGACUAACUAAUGCGAAAGCAUUUGCCAAGGAUGUUUUCAUUAAUCAAG